CCAGACUCCUACGGGAGGCAGCAGUGAGGAAUAUUGGUCAAUGGCCGAGAGGCUGAACCAGCCAAGUCGCGUGAGGGAAGAAUGUCCUAUGGAUUGUAAACCUCUUUUGUCAGGGAGCAACGCCGGCUACGUGUAGCCGGACUGAGAGUACCUGAAGAAAAAGCAUCGGCUAACUCCGUGCCAGCAGCCGCGGUAAUACGGAGGAUGCGAGCGUUAUCCGGAUUUAUUGGGUUUAAAGGGUGCGUAGGCGGAAUGCCAAGUCGGCGGUAAAAUCGCGGGGCUCAACCUCGCUCCGCCGUUGAAACUGGGUGCCUUGAGUGGGCGAGAAGUACGCGGAAUGCGUGGUGUAGCGGUGAAAUGCAUAGAUAUCACGCAGAACUCCGAUUGCGAAGGCAGCGUACCGGCGCCCAACUGACGCUGAAGCGCGAAGGCGUGGGUAUCGAACAGGAUUAGAUACCCGAGUAA
rnacentral:rRNA from 1 species